UCUAAAUUGCCGAGGCUGGUCUCGAACUUACUAUUCUUUUUCAGCCUUCGGAGUCUCUGGGAUUACAGUUACAGGCAUGCAUCGCCGCGCCCAGCUGUAUUAACAUUUUAAAUAGAAAUUUUACAACCUUGUGAUAAAGUAAGCUUGUCUCUCUCCUCUCAUCGUUUCAUUGCGGUAUUUACAAAAUUCUUAAUUCUCCGAUUAACAAAGUGAGCAAGUUGUCUUCUAAUUUUACACGGCAGGUCUUGAAAUGGCUGUUAAAUUGGGUUCUUUGACUCCAUCUCUUUCCUUAAUGAACUGAUCGGAGGGCUGUAUAGUUGAUGACCCUGGAUUUAGGUAUGUUACUCUUUCUAAUCAAAUAAUUUGUUAAACCAUUUAGGGAGAGGGAUGCCUUAAAAAUUUCCACGCAGAGGAGAAAGAACACAUCUUUUGGAGCAAAUAUUUUGCCUCUCCCCCCAAUUGUUCCUGUUACACGCUUGGAAAAGAUGCGUUGUUGAUGAAUAAUGCACGGUUUAUUUCUCUUUAAUGUCUACAGGUGGCAGUGUAGAAGCCAAAACGGGAGCUUCCAGAAGUAGUUUCUGAAAAAUAAGAGUUGAAUGUACAUGAGUAAGCAAGCACAGGAAUCUGAAAACCACAGGUAUGUAAAACAAUUAAUCCACCUAUUUGGCUUUAUAAUUAUUGCCUUCCAGUAGUUGCUCUCAUGCUCAAUAUUUUGACAUUUCUAUAGACUUAUAUGAAGUGAAAUGUAUUUUGAGGUAAUCUCAGGAGAAAACAAGUAUAAUCUAUUUCAGACAAUGUAUUUAAAUAAAAAUAUUGCAUGGUCAUUAUAUUACCUUUAUUGUUCUAAAUGAGAAGCAUCAUUUACCUAGUGUGACCGUGUGGCUUUGCCUUUAACCAGUUGUUUGAUAACUUUUAAAAAAUACUUUUCCUGGAUCCAUAUAAAACUGCCCAUUGGUUCUCACCAAUUUUGUUUGGGGUAUUGUUAGGGGUCAACUUGUUGAACCGAUAUAAGUAUAUAAUUUAAUAAAGUUGCCUUGAUAUCACACUCAUCAGAAUACAGAUGCAUGAAGAAGCUUCUUUUCAACCAGUGCUUUUUAAAAAAUAUUUAUUUUUGGUCCCAAGGAUGGAACCAAGGGGCUUUACCUCUGAGCUACAUCCCCAGCACUUUUUAUUUUUUUAUUUUGAGACAGGAUCUCUCUCUAAGUUGCUGAGAUGGUUCUUGAACUUGCUAUCCUACUAGAGCCUCUGGAGUUCACCACCAUGCCCAGUACAGCCUGUUUUUAAUCUCAGCAUUUUUCUUACUACCUGGCUGCUUUUUUUCAUCACACUGAUUUGCCCACUUAACUGAAAUAAGAAGGGCUUUUUAAAAAAUUUAUUUUUUACUUAUUUAUUUAGUUAGUUUUUGAUACUGGGGAUUGAACCCAAGGGUGCAUUGCCGCUGAACUACAUUCCUGGCCCUUCUUGUUUUUUAAAUUUUGAGUCUCACUAAGUUUCCCAGGCUGGCCUGGAACUUAAGGAUCCUCCUGCCUCUGCCUCUUGAGUAGCUGAUAAUACAGACUGCCACUAUGCUCAUCAUGAUUUCCAUUUUGAAUAGCAGUGUAUAAAUGUUAUAACAUCCAGGUUAAUUUCUUUUUUUUUUUUAUUUUUUGAUAGUAGCCAUUCUAAUAGGUGUGAGGUGGUCCUUGUGGGUUUAAUAUGCAUUUCCU
rnacentral:lncRNA from 1 species